GGGAGGCUUCAGGAAGGGUGAGGAGACUAAUUGGUGGGUCUGGCAAACAAUUCAAGAUGAGACCAAAAGGAGGAGCCAUCUGCUGGCAGGAAGUAAAUAGAAAUGCACCUUACCGCUGGCCCUUCCACAGUGGGUGCACAGAUGGAGACAGGCGGCACCCUUAGGGAGAGAGCAAAUCUGCCACGAGAGGAACAAAGGGGAUUUGAGAUCGCCUCCUGGGAACAGCCUCUGCUUUCUUUCAUGUUGAGAUGAUCUAAGGAGUUUACCCACAUCACAAACCUGUUAGUAUGAGCUUGGUGGCCUUGGGGAGUUUCCAGGCAGUGUUACUGUGUAGGACUAAGAGUGAGGCUUUAGAGGAAGCAAUAGAGAUGGAAGUAAUUGGUUUAAGAUCUUGGGCAUGGGCACCCUCUAAUCUGGGAUGACCUCAUGUGGCUGUGCAGCACAGAACAGCAAGGGGGCACCAGUGACAUGCAAAAAAGCAUUUCCUUGACACCCCCCCACCACCACCCCCCGCCCCACCGACUGCUGCAGAGCCCAGCCCGAACCUUGCAUCCUACUCCUGACUUCUUGGAAGUUGAACCUUCAAUUGGACUUUAUUCCACCUGCUCCACACAGUCCUUCGAGUCUCCAAGCAGGAAGCAUUACAAGGGUGCAGCCUGAAGAGGAGAGUAAGGAAAGAGAGAAGCUGAAGAAAGAGAAUGAUGAUGAGGAGGAAAGGAAAACAACAGAGGACAAUGAAGAGGCAGCACCUUUGAGUGAAUGAAAGACUUGCCUUCCUCAAGACAUGUUGCUACCAUCAGCCUCAACAGUGUCAUAACACAGAUGCAAACCUAUGCUGACUAUGGUAUGAGUGGUGCUCCCUGGAGUUGUUCAGUUUACAGCUAACCCUAGAAAAGCCGUACAAAGAUUGAGGGACCGCAGAUGGGUCCCUCUGUGGUGGUGGGGGAGGGGAAUAAUAGAGAGUAAGAAAGAAGAACCACAUUGGUAGGAAGUGUGAGAAUUAGGGAUUGAAAAAAUGAAAGGUGCGUGUUAUAAGCUGAAAGAUGUCCCCUCCAGAUUCACACAAUGAAGGCCUAACUCCUGGUUUGACUGUUUAAGGAGACAGAGUCUUUAGGGAGGUCAUUAAGGUGGAAUGAGGUGUGGCUAAUCCCAUAGGACUAGAGUCCUUAUAAGAAAACGCACCAGAUCUCCCUCUCUCUCUCCCUCCCUAAAAACCCUAUUUGCAAAUACAGUCAAACUGGCGGUUAGGGCUUCAUUGCGUGAAUCUAACGCCUCUCCCUUUCCCACUCCCUUUCUUUUUCCCUCUCUCUGUGUGGCACAGAGAAGGCACUGUGAGGAUAACAGUGGGAAGGUGGACAUCUACAAGCCAGGAAGAGAAGCCUCACCAGAAACCAGCCUGGACGGCGCUUUGAUCAUGGACUUCCAACCUCCAGAACUGUGACACAUUAAAUGUCUGUUGUUUAAACUGUUGAGUCUGUGGUAUUUUGUUGUGGCAGCCCCAACUGACUAAUAUGUAUUAAGUGGGAAAGAAAGAAAUGGUUCAUUACAGCAGAGAAUGAGCAGAGAUGGGAG
rnacentral:lncRNA from 13 species